GAGGAAUAUUGGACAAUGGGCGAAAGCCUGAUCCAGCCAUGCCGCGUGAGUGAUGAAGGCCUUAGGGUUGUAAAGCUCUUUCGGCGCAGAAUAUAAUGAAUGUGUGCGCAUAAGAAGCCCCGGCUAAAUUCGUGCCAGCAGCCGCGGUAACACGAAUGGGGCAAGCGUUGUUCGGAAUCACUGGGCGUAAAGAGUGCGUAGGCGGUAGAGCAAGUCAGAAGUGAAAGCCCCGGGCUUAACCCGGGAACUGCUUUUGAAACUGCUUUACUAGAGUCUUGGAGAGGUUAGCAGAAUUCCGAGUGUAGAGGUGAAAUUCGCAGAUAUUCGGAGGAAUACCAAUGGCGUAGGCAGCUAACUGGACAAGUACUGACGCUGAGGCACGAAAGCGUGGGGAUCAAAC
rnacentral:rRNA from 1 species